UCAUGACCACAAUGACUGUUGGCCUAUA
rnacentral:piRNA from 1 species